AAGACCUUGCGCUUUUGGAGCGGCCGAUGCCUGAUUAGCUUGUUGGUAAGGUAAAAGCUUACCAAGGCUUCGAUCAGUAGCUGGUCUGAGAGGACGGCCAGCCACACUGGGACUGAGACACGGCCCAGACUCCUACGGGAGGCAGCAGUGGGGAAUUUUGGACAAUGGGGGCAACCCUGAUCCAGCCAUGCCGCGUGAGUGAAGAAGGCCUUCGGGUUGUAAAGCUCUUUCAGCCGGAACGAAACGGUUACGGAUAAUACCCGUGACUACUGACGGUACCGGAGGAAGAAGCACCGGCUAACUACGUGCCAGCAGCCGCGGUAAUACGUAGGGUGCAAGCGUUAAUCGGAAUUACUGGGCGUAAAGCGUGCGCAGGUGGUUUUGUAAGUCAGAUGUGAAAGCCCCGGGCUCAACCUGGGAACU
rnacentral:rRNA from 1 species